UAAUGCCUAGAUAUCUGCCUAGUCGUGGGGGAUAACAGUUGGAAACGACUGCUAAUACCGCAUACGCCCUACGGGGGAAAGGAGGGGACCUUCGGGCCUUUCGCGAUUAGAUGAGUCUAGGUGGGAUUAGCUAGUAGGUGAGGUAAUGGCUCACCUAGGCGACGAUCCCUAGCUGUUCUGAGAGGAUGAUCAGCCACACUGGGACUGAGACACGGCCCAGACUCCUACGGGAGGCAGCAGUGGGGAAUAUUGCACAAUGGGCGAAAGCCUGAUGCAGCCAUGCCGCGUGUGUGAAGAAGGCCUUCGGGUUGUAAAGCACUUUCAGCGAGGAGGAAAGGUUAACGGUUAAUAACCGUUAGCUGUGACGUUACUCGCAGAAGAAGCACCGGCUAACUUCGUGCCAGCAGCCGCGGUAAUACGAGGGGUGCAAGCGUUAAUCGGAAUUACUGGGCGUAAAGCGUACGCAGGCGGUUUGUUAAGCCAGAUGUGAAAGCCCCGGGCUCAACCUGGGAAUUGCAUUUGGAACUGGCAAACUAGAGUCUUGUAGAGGGGGGUAGAAUUUCAGGUGUAGCGGUGAAAUGCGUAGAGAUCUGAAGGAAUACCGGUGGCGAANGCGGCCCCCUGGACAAAGACUGACGCUCANGUACGAAAGCGUGGGGAGCAAACANNAUUAGAUACCCUGGUAGUCCACGCCGUAAACNAUGUCUACUCGGAGUNUGGUAACUUAGUUACUGGGCUCCCAAGCUAACGCAUUAAGUACACCGCCUGGGGAGUACGGCCGCANGGUUAAAACUCAAAUG
rnacentral:rRNA from 1 species